rnacentral:lncRNA from 1 species
CAGGAGAGAGUUUUAGGUCUUUUGGAAUGGGGACAGCAUAUAUGUAAGAUGUAGCUGCUAGAGUUUCCCGGUAUCAUGGCGGAUGUGUAAGGAUUCGCCACCAGAGGAAUCAGAUUUUAAUAAGGCUUACAAGAUUAGGUUUUAGUUGUUGUGCCCAGAGAUUGAGUUACCAUUGUUUCUGAACUAAGUUUGUGUUGGCUUUCCCUUCACACAGUGGGGGCGGCUCAUCUGGGUUCAAGAGAGAAAGGUAUCCUGUAAAGCAUGGGUGUGCUAAAUGUGCAACACAAAGGUUGUGGGGGAUUUGAAGCACAGGUGGGCUUGGUAAGGACCCACCAGUGGGAACCUAGGGGGCUGGGUGGAGAGAUUGUGGAGUUCUGAGUCAGAGUCUCCAUGAGAUAAAACAAGUUGACCAAUGCCUGACCAGACCACUGGGGCAGAGAGUUGCUGGCACAAGCAUGGGAACGUGUCAGUUCUUUUUUAAUAUUUCCCACAACAAAUAUAUAUCCUGAUUACAGUUUCCCCUCCCUCUACCCCCCUCCCCGUUCCUCCCUGAAUUUCAGGGUUCAGACUACAAACUGCUUCUGUGUGACUAAGAGAAGAAGAAUCAGAGUAAAGAGAAACAUACUCUCUUAAUCUCCGAAGAUUAACGGCAGGAGGAGCUCUAGAAUUUCACAAAGGUGCUGUCAGGACACAUGAAAAUCUAGAGAAAAAGACCAGCUUGAAGAGACCAAAAAGAAGAAAGCCUGCCAAUCACAUCCUCCAGAGAUUCUGAGACACACACACCCCUGGUGUAGGGGGACACCAUCUGAAAGGCCCAGAAUUCUCAGCAUAGUUGAAGAUAACCUUGAACACUGGACUUCCUACCUCUACCUCCCAAGUUUUGGGAUCACAGGUGACACCCAUUCUACGGAAUAUAAGUACCAGCUAAAGAGGACACACACUUGAAGAAAAAGGAGACAAUGAGGUCUUGUGAAUGCUCUAAUUUUUCAAAGCUUACUUUUAAUGAUGGUUCUUAAACGCUUUAACCUCCCUUCUAGUCCACCACCCACCAAAGGUAGUGAAAAGAAAGGUGAUUAGGAUACAGGCGAAGUGAACCUGUUCAGACAUGGUUCUUUGGUGCACAACCUAGCAGGAACAUCCAGGUCUCAGUGGAAUCAGCUCAAAAACACUCCUUCCUGUGUGUGCCCCAGCAAAGCACAAUUCAAUGAAACUGACUUUCUAAAGAAACCAAAAGUUGGGGCUGGAGAGAUGGCUCAGUGGUUAAGAGCACUGACUGCUCUUCAAGAUGUCCUGAGUUCAAUUCCCAGCAACCACAUGGUGGCUCACAACGAUCCAUAAUGAGAUUAUUUUGCCUGCUCAUAUGUCUAUGCCUGGUGCCCCCAGAGGCCAGAAGAGGACAUCAGGAGUUAAAGACAGUUGUGACCCACCAUGUGCUAUAUGACAAACCCAGGCUCUCUGGAAGAGCAGCCAGUGAGUGCUCGUGAAUGCUGAGCCAUCUCCCUAGCAAUCAAACUGGAGAAAUGAUGGCAUUGUGCCAGGUUGGAUUAGGUUAAAUAAAAAUCGUAAUCAUUGGCUAGGC